UCUUCUCCUUCAGGAAGCAGCCAGUAUGGUGGGCAGGGCUCAUAUUCUGGAGGCAGACAACAUGGUAAACCAGGCUUCUCUACCUCAGGAAGCACUUAUUCUGGGAAACCGAAUUCACCUUCCUCAGGGGGCAGUCAAGUGAGCUCUGCUGGGAAACACUCCACUCCCCGACUCCUGCUGUUACUCAGUGUUUUGAGUGCCUUUGCUCUCUCUGCUGCUACAUCAAAAUGGUCUCUAUGAACUUCUGAAGAGUUGCCUUGGCAUCCUAGACAUGGAUUAUAUUCAAUGAUAUUAGACUAAUUACUUGAUGUAAGAAAAAAAAUUACCCUUAAGUCAAAUUGGCAGAUGCUGCUUGGCUGUUACGUUGCAUGUCUAGCUAGUAUGUCAUGCCUCUCAUUAGUUUACCUUUGGUUUUAGUCAUUAGUAGAUAUCAUUAGUUUUGUCACUGUUUUUAGGCAUCAUUUUAAGAGAGCAUAUUGUACCCUACCUGUAUGAUUUAUUUUUAUUUCUGAUGGGGAAUGAGAUGAACACCUACCUGAAAUCUGAUUGGUGCGACAAACAAAUACUUGGUUAUUAACCAAAGCGGAGGAGGUCAAACAAAUUGUUGUAUAUGCAAACUGAGCACUGUGCCUGGUCAUCAUCGCAUAAAAUAAGGCUAAUGUAAACAUCUGAUAAGCUGUCCUCCAGGGGACAGAAAAAAAGAUGCUAAAAUAGUAUCAGAGUAUUGUUUUUAGUCUAUCGUAGUCAAAUGCAAGUUCAAUAUGGAGGUUGCAAAGCAAAAAAAAAA